rnacentral:sRNA from 1 species
CUUGGUCAUUUAGAGGAAGUAAAAGUCGUAACAAGGUCUCCGUAGGUGAACCUGCGGAGGGAUCAUUACACAAUAUGAAGGCGGGCUGGACACCCUCCAGCCGGGCACUGCUUCACGGCGUGCGCGGCUGGAGCCGGCCCUGCUGAAUUAUUCACCCGUGUCUUUUGCGUACUUCUUGUUUCCUGGGUGGGCUCGCCCGCCAUCAGGACCAACCAUAAACCUUUUUGUAAUAGCAAUCAGCGUCAGUAACAACGUAAUUAAUUACAACUUUCAACAACGGAUCUCUUGGUUCUGGCAUCGAUGAAGAACGCAGCGAAAUGCGAUACGUAGUGUGAAUUGCAGAAUUCAGUGAAUCAUCGAAUCUUUGAACGCACCUUGCGCUCCUUGGUAUUCCGAGGAGCAUGUCUGUUUGAGUGUCAUGAAACUCUCACCCUCUAGCUUUCUUAAUCGUGGCUAGCGGCGUGGACGUGAGCGCUGCUGCUUUGUUGCGGCUCGCUCGAAAUGUAUUAGCAGACCCUUUUCGUAAUCGGUUCCACUCAACGUGAUAAGUAUUUCGUUGAGGACAGUUGCAGCAAUGCGGCUGGCCGGGAUAAGAAAGGCAUAGUUGUCAGCUUCUAAUCGCCCUCGGGCAAUUUUUUAUGAUCUGGCCUCAAAUCAGGUAGGACUACCCGCUGAACUUAAGCAUAUCAAUAAGCGGAGGAAAAGAAACUAACAAGGAUUCCCCUAGUAACGGCGAGUGAAGCGGGAUGAGCUCAAAUUUAAAAUCUGGCGGUCUCAGAUCGUCCGAGUUGUAGUCUAGAGAAGCGUUUUCCGUGCUGGCCUGUGUACAAGUCCGUUGGAACACGGCGUCAUAGAGGGUGAGAAUCCCGUCCUUGACGCAGAUCUCCAGUGCUUUGUGAUGCGCUCUCAAAGAGUCGAGUUGUUUGGGAAU